rnacentral:rRNA from 1 species
UACAGAGGAUGCAAGCGUUAUCCGGAAUGAUUGGGCGUAAAGCGUCUGUAGGUGCUUUUAAGUCCGCCGUCAAAUCCCAGGGCUCAACUCUGGACAGGCGGUGGAAACUACCAAGCUGGAGUACGGUAGGGGCAGAGGGAAUUUCCGGUGGAGCGGUGAAAUGCGUAGAGAUCGGAAAGAACACCAACGGCGAAAGCAACUCUGCUGGGCCGACACUGACACUGAGAGACGAAAGCUAGGGGAGCGAAUGGG